rnacentral:lncRNA from 1 species
GUGCCAUGAGUUUGCUAUAGAAUUAUGGACCAGGAGUUUAAAGUGAAAUGCAUUAAAAUAAUAAUAAUAAUAAUAGUUUUGAAUUAGCUACUAAUACUUCAGAAGUGAAUUAGGAUUUUCUUGACAUAAUCAUCCCAUGUAUGCAGAGAAAAGAUGGCGCCUCCUAUGAUGCAGUGUGGAAAAUAAGCAAUAGUCCCAGAACUUCUGCUUAAUUACUGACAAACUAAAAGACAAGGACAAAACAAAAUAAUGAAAACAUACCUCUCAACUGAAACCAGCGUGCCAAAAUACGAUUCAGGUGACAUCAGACUUUAUUUAGAGAACAGUGUUAAAGAUAACCAUAAGAAAAAGUGAUGAUGAAAUCCAGCAGUAUGAAAAAAAAAACAGAAGCACGAAACACCCAUUUUGCUUUGUGAAACUUUCAGGGAACAUCAUUCAAAUUUUAAGCAAACAUAUUUUAUGGAAAUCAGUGUACUUUAUACCCUGGUGGGGUAAGACCUAUCUUACCAGCCAGGUAGGACAGGCCGGCAAACUAAGUAUGUUAAGAAAACCACCUGUCACUCAUCUUCAACAACAGUUAAGCUUUAAGGCACGUAAGGUUACAUCCAAACACGUUCUUGGUUUGGUAUGUUAUAGAGAUGUUGGCGUGUCACUUAGCAGUUGAAGUAACAGAAACAGCAUUUCCCAGGUGAAGCUUCUCUGUCAGCUGGGUUCAGGUGAGUUAGCUCAUCCCUAGUAGACACAGAGAACAAUCCUCCUCUGUCUUUUUUCAACAGACUUUCACAUAUUAGAACUUUAUCUCUAUGCCUUCUCUUUGCCAGAUUAAACAACUCAGGACUUUUUACAGGUCAGGUUUUGUUGUCCAUAACCUUGUUUCUUUCUCUGUGCUUUGUCUUGAAAGAUGAUGACCACAGCUGGACACCAUCCUCCAACAGAGGCUUUCCCAGCCCCAAGUGCAGCAAUUUGUACAUGUGCCUUCUGCACAAAACUCUUAACUAUGGUCUCAG